UUGUUUAGGUAAUGUCGUCAAUUAUCUAUUUUAUUUCUUUCCGCGCACAUCUAAAAUUUCAGCAUUAACGAUAAUCUACACUACGGGACCUUUAAAUUUACGUCAUUUCCUCUCGAUAGUUUGCGCAUGCGUAGCAAGAGGUCAUUUAAAUUGAACCGGAACAAUUGAUCUCGUUUAUCAAACAAACAUUUAGUCGUCGUCGAGUGUGUAUGAAGUCACAGCGCGAUUGUGUGGUUUUUAGUCAUUUUAUCCACACUAGUGCGUUAGGUAAACUUUUUUGUCGGUAAGUAAACAUGCUAGCUUGAGUUUAGUGCUACGGUGCAGCGUUUUCAGCUGUGUAAACAAGAGACAAGAGUUGUCCUGUGGUGGAUACGUAGCGGUAAACAGUCAUUAACAGAUGCAAUGGAGGAGAAGACUUGAAGGCACAGCAGCUUGGACUCUGCCAGGUAGAGCGAAGGAGCAACUUUAUUUGAAGCCGAUCACUUGUUUGCUGGACUUGUAAGUGUUUUACUGGAUUGUGUAAUUUUAACUUAGGUUUUUUUUACUUAGUAUUUUUUUAGCUUUAUUGUUCAUUUUUUAAUUUGUUAUAUAGUGCAAUCAUUGUGUAACUUUAGCUGUAUUUGAUAUGUUGUAAAUUUUCCAAUAAAAGAAACUGUUAUGUGGA